rnacentral:rRNA from 1 species
UACGGGGGGGGCAAGCGUUGUUCGGAAUCACUGGGCGUAAAGGGCGCGUAGGCGGCUUCUCAAGUGUGUGGUGAAAGUCCGGGGCUCAACCCCGGAUCGGCCGUGCGGACUGGGGAGCUCGAGUUCUGUAGAGGCGGGUGGAAUUCCGGGUGUAGCGGUGGAAUGCGUAGAGAUCCGGAGGAACACCGGUGGCGAAGGCGGCCCGCUGGGCAGAGACUGACGCUGAGGCGCGACAGCGUGGGGAGCAAACAGG